UGGGGAAUAUUGGACAAUGGGCGCAAGCCUGAUCCAGCAAUGCCGCGUGAGUGAUGAAGGCCUUCGGGUUGUAAAGCUCUUUCGCACGCGACGAUGAUGACGGUAGCGUGAGAAGAAGCCCCGGCUAACUUCGUGCCAGCAGCCGCGGUAAUACGAAGGGGGCUAGCGUUGUUCGGAAUUACUGGGCGUAAAGGGCGCGUAGGCGGUACUUCAAGUCAGGCGUGAAAGCCCCGGGCUCAACCUGGGAACCGCGCUUGAGACUGGAGAACUAGAGUUCAGGAGAGGAUGGUGGAAUUCCCAGUGUAGAGGUGAAAUUCGUAGAUAUUGGGAAGAACACCGAUGGCGAAGGCAGCCAUCUGGACCGACACUGACGCUGAGGCGCGAAAGCGUGGGGAGCAAACAGG
rnacentral:rRNA from 1 species